rnacentral:rRNA from 1 species
CGUGUAGCAGUGAAAUGCGUAGAUAUGUGGAGGAACACCGAUGGCGAAGGCAGCCCCCUGGGUUAACACUGACGCUCAUGCACGAAAGCGUCGGGAGCAAACAGGAUUAGAUACCCUGGUAGUCCACGCCCUAAACUAUGUCAACUAGUUGUCGGCGAAGAAAUUCCUUGGUAACGAAGCUAACGCGUGAAGUUGACCGCCUGGGGAGUACGGCCGCAAGGUUAAAACUCAAAGGAAUUGACGGGGACCCGCGCAAGCGGUGGAUUAUGUGGAUUAAUUCGAUGCAACGCGAAAAACCUUACCUACCCUUGACAUGCUAGGAAGCCCGCAGAGAUGUGGGUGUGCCCGAAAGGGAACCUAGACACAGAUGCUGCAUGGCUGUCGUCAGCUCGUGUCGUGAGAUGUUGGGUUAAGUCCCGCAACGAGCGCAACCCUUGCCAUUAGUUGCUACAUUCAGUUGGGCACUCUAAUGGGACCGCCGGUGACAAACCGGAGGAAGGUGGGGAUGACGUCAAGUCCUCAUGGCCCUUAUGGGUAGGGCUUCACACGUAAUACAAUGGUCGGUACAGAGGGCUGCCAACCCGCAAGGGGGAGCUAAUCCCAGAAAGCCGAUCGUAGUCCGGAUUCUAGUCUGCAACUCGACUGCAUGAAGCCGGAAUCGCUAGUAAUCGCGGAUCAGCAUGUCGCGGUGAAUACGUUCCCGGGUCUUGUACACACCGCCCGUCACACCAUGGGAGUGGGUUUCACCAGAAGUAGGUAGCCUAACCGCAAGGAGGGCGCUUACCACGGUGGGAUUCAUGACUGGGGUG